UUAAGAUUUAUUUCCAUAACUAUUCUCAUUUGUCUCAAUAAAUAGUCCCUAGGUGUUUGAUGAUUUUCAUUGAAGACUGAAAACUGAAAACAUGGCAAUCCGUAUCAAUCGUAUGUAUCUUUUCAUUGUAGUUGUGUGCAUCGUUUCCGUUCUGACUCAAGGCACAUAUAAAGUGAUUGGAACAAAAGAAAGAUUAAAUGACGCUCCUUCGCCACAAGACUGUGAGAAACGACCUGAUUUGUGUCCAGAUCAUCCUCAAGAGUGUAUUAAGAGUUGUGCACAAAAGGGUAUCACUUUCGGUAGCGCUUGUGAAGGAGCCCUAUGUUGCUGCGGAAUAUAACAUAUAUGUCUUUGUACAAAUUUAUGUACACAUACUAUCGUAUGGCUGCUAUCAAAUGAAAAAAUAAAUACAUAAAUUUCAGUUUAUAAAA